UAUCUUUCAGGUUUCUUGGUGGUUACGGCGUCUGAUGAUUUGAUGACGAGUUUGGAGACCAUCAGACUUCAGCAGAAGAUAAAAGAAAAGGCGGAGUCAUUGCUGCGCUUCCCUUUCAUCCCCUCGUUAGUCGAUCCUUGCGAUUUCUCAUCUAACAUGUUUCACUCCGAAGAUUCGCCGUGGAGAGAUUUAACAGGAAAUGGGAGAAUUCCGUUGGUCCAGCAUUCACUCGGUUACAUCCGUUCAAACGUAGUAGACGAGCAUUUCACUGAACUGCUUGAAUUAAACGACGCCAGGAGAGAAGAGGAGCAGUUCUCGUUGACUAAAGAGUUAAAGCUUGUCGUUUCACAAGCCUUGCACUUGAUCCAUAGCAUUUAUUCGCCCUCGGUUUGUUUUAUAUGGUCUUGAGUUUCAUAGUUAAAAAAAAAUUAAUUUUCUUGACUACGUUAAUGUUGGAAUCAAAAGGCGUUACGUAAAUGCGAUGGCUACCAGUUGGCGUCACUUCCUCAAGAUCAUUUCAUCGUUUUCUCUACGGAAGACAUUCAGCUACAAGAGAUCUAUCGCAGCUUAAUAGUUGUGGUGCUUCAUCUCUAUGCAAUUAUCCACGACAUUUACGAUUCCGGCAGAUUGUGCCCGUCAGAAAGCCUGGGCCAUCUUCAAAUCCUUCGUCAAUUAAUUGGUAAAGUGGAAACGUCCAUGUGUCUCGUAUUGCAGUCCGCCGUCAUUGCCAAAGGGAAGGAAAAAGUGGAUUAUUUAAGAGUUACUCAGGAAGUUCUCCAAACCGCCAUCCAUCGCUACUACUAUUGCUCAGCCAGGGAGAUUCGAGAAUGCUUGGUGAUGAACUACACAUCUGCAGUAUUCGGCUUCGUUCAACGUUACAUUGAUAACAAUCUCGACUCUUAAAGUCAACAUUGCAACAACUUAGUUCCCAAGAUUCAAUGAAAUAUUAUACGGGUAAAUUCUCUGGAAAUCUUGUUCUUACUGACAUUUUUAAUUAGUGUUUGACCGUGUUUCACUCUUAGUGUAUUAUUUGUCAACGUGUUUUUAAUCGUAUACAAUAUGUUGACAUUUUUACAGCGAAAAGAAAUUUGUUGAGUCUUUUUUAU